rnacentral:lncRNA from 1 species
AGGUUGAUUCAAAGAGAAGGACAGUUCAGGAAGUCAAGAAAAUGUUCAAGGUGACAGUGAGAGCCAAGUAGGGUUCACAGCAGUGGGUGACAGCAAAGUGUAGACUCAGAUACCCACAGACCUGACUGACUUCAACAAUAAUAUCUUCAGAACUAUCAGCAAGCAUGAUUAUUUCUGACUUGAAUUUACAUCUCAGUUGAGCAAAGGAAGAAAGAAGUGAAGGGCUUGUAAUAAUUACUUUCACAUGCUAAGUUAUGGACCUGCUUUGGUCUUGCCCACAUUUUGAAAUUACAUGGACCCGUUUGUCUACUAUGAAGUCUCAAGUUCAAGAUCGCUUCCUAAGAUGGUCUCCAACAGCCUGCAACACCUCCAGUUCUGGGGUGUCUAAUGCCAUUUUCUGAUUUUCACUGCUAUUUUCAUACAAGUAGAACAUGCGCACAUAUGCAAAAUGAAAAUAAAUCUUAAAAAAGGAA